rnacentral:misc_RNA from 1 species
AAAAAGCUCUAUGAUAGAUUUGUAAUGCUCCUAAACAAUUUCAUGGGCUUCUUCAACAGAAAGCUCAUCAACAGAGCAAACCAAGGCACAAUUAGCUGCAACUAGACAAUUAUAGUGUACAACAAAACAAAUUUAGCAUAAUUAGUUAAGAUCAAAAGGUUUCUCUUUUCCCUCUUCAGUCUUCCCACUCUUAACAGAUUACAUAUUCUACACAUUCUCAGCUCAACAUAAACAACGCACCGCGAGCAGCAUAUAGCAGGUGUCCGGCGAUGACCAAUUUUUUGAAUCUAGCAGUAACUUCGAUUUAAUUGUAUGGUUGAAGUUAUAGCAGCAGAGUCAUGUAGAACAGGGACUCUGCCAUGUACAUAGGUCAGCAAGAAGAUCUCGAAGCUGGUCAAUCAGAAGUUUGAGAUGCUUGUUCUUGUCUACAAGCUCCUUCUUUAAUGAAGAGGCCCGGUCUUCCAGCUGCUCAAUUUCCGCUUGAUCUGCUGCAGAUAGUGAACCACUAGCAGAAGCAGCUUCCAAUGCUUUUGCCUUUUGGGAAUUAGAAAUUGCAGUAAGAACAGAACGCAAGGAAGCAAUAGAGGACUUAUAACGCAGACGAGAUUCAUCAAGAGCACCACCACCAAUAUCCAAAUGCUGAGCUGAAGCAGAAGAAGACGAAGAAGUAUCAGACGAAAUGUCGCCGUUUGUAUGGUGCUGCUGUCCAUUACUCAAAACACCACUAGCACCAACUCCUCCACCGGCCACCGCCACCGCAGAAGAAGCAGCAGCUGUAUUUAGAGUGGACCAAAGUGAUGGAUUACAGAGUUCAUCGUUCAUGGCGGAGAGAAUUUGAUGUGCUGCUUCUAUUGUAUCUUCUAAAUGCUUUUGCCCUUCUACUGCUAGUUCUUGUAUGGUUUUAGGGCUUGUAAUUGUGCCUUUAUCCUCCAUACCGGGUAAUGUCACCGGCUUGUCAAAACCCUAGAUCGACGGCGGCGG